CGGUUAUACGAGAGGCCCCAGUUAACAAUAUUACGGCGUAAAGGGUGGUUAAGGGACACAAUAAAAUAAAGCCAAACAGCCCCCCGGCCGUCAUACGCUUCCGGGAACUAGAAGCCCAACCCCACGAAAGUGGCUUUAACAAAUUUGCCUGACUCCACGAAAGCUGAGGGACAAACUGGGAUUAGAUACCCCACUAUGCUCAGCCAUAAACCUAGACAUUUUUAUACAAUUACAUGUCCGCCAGGGUACUACAAGCAUCAGCUUAAAACCCAAGGGGCCUGACGGUGCCUCAGACCCCCCUAGAGGAGCCUGUUCUAGAACCGAUAACCCCCGUUAAACCUCACCACUUCUAGUCACCCCAGCCUAUAUACCGCCGUCGCCAGCUUACCCUGUGAAGGUAAUAAAAGUAAGCAAAAUGGGCACAACCCAGAACGUCAGGUCGAGGUGUAGCGCACGAAGUGGGAAGAAAUGGGCUACAUUUUCUAUUAUAGAACACUACGGAUACGUAACAUGAAAUAGUGCUUGAAGGAGGAUUUAGUAGUAAAAAGGAAAAAGAGUGUCCUUUUGAACCCGGCUCUGAGACGCGUACACACCGCCCGUCACUCUCCCCUGUCGAAAUGCAAUAAAAAUACUUAAGACCAAAGCACAGACAAGGGGAGGCAAGUCGUAACAUGGUAAGUGUACCGGAAGGUGCACUUGG
rnacentral:rRNA from 1 species